rnacentral:lncRNA from 1 species
AUUAAAACUGUCAUUGUUGUAAGAAAAAGUAUUAACAUUUUCAUAUAACCCAACAUCCAGAAACUGAGCUGUUUUGUUAUUGUUCAUCAACUGGUGGGACCAGCUCUUCUUUUGUGUCCCAUUCAGAACCUGUGAUGCUACGAGCAAUGCUUUCUGGAGUGUGCUCCCUCGUAUAUUCCAAGGACCUGCAGACUCCUUAAGUAGAGGCCAGUGUCUAGUUUUGGCUUUGUCUUCCACAAUACCACACAGCAGUGUAAAGCAGGGCAUGCUUCCAGUUUGCAGGUGUGUGUCUUAAAUUCUCCUUUUAAAUUAUAAAGAUUGGAGGUCUCAUAAGUGGGUGAUGUAAGGGACACAACAGCAAUCGCAGAGUUUAGCAGGACAGUACUUGUGCUAGGUCGUUUGUUGGUGACUCAUUAAGGAUGUCAGCGUGAUUGACAGGAGAUUUUCCUGCUCUAGGCUUUUGUGUGUGUGCAUCAUCUGGUUCCAUUGGAAGAAACACCAAAUUUGGAAUCAGAUCUGAUUGCAGAUUCAGUUAUGCCAUUUAUAGGCGCGUGACCUUGGCAAAAAUAUUGAACAUUUUGCUAUUUUAUUUGCUUUUUUUUAAAGCCUGCUUUAUACCAGUGAUGUGAGAAUUUAAUGAGCUCCAAGAUCCACUAUGUAGUUGUUUAGAACGCUCUCAGCAGUAAGCUGCAGGAAUCUCAGCUAACAUUGGCUUAAGAAUGGGGAUGUGUACUCUUCUUAUAUAACCAGAAGAAGUCAGAAUGUUCAGAGGACUAAAUUCAGUAUU